UACAGAGACCACAAGCGUUAUCCGGAUUUAUUGGGCGUAAAGCGUUCGUAGGCGGUUUUGUAAGUCAUUUGUUAAAUCUCCAGGCUUAACCUGGAGCUGGCGGGUGAUACUGCAAGACUUGAGUGUGGGAGAGGCAAGCGGAAUGCCCGGUGUAGCGGUAAAAUGCGUUAAUAUCUGGAGGAACACCGGUGGCGAAGGCGACAUCCUGGACCAACACUGACGCUGAGGAGCGAAAGCCAGGGGAGCAAACGGG
rnacentral:rRNA from 1 species